rnacentral:rRNA from 1 species
AGGAAAUCUACCCUUGAGAGGGAAUAACCCACCGAAAGGUGAGCUAAUACCCCAUAAUAUUCCAUUUUGUUCGCAGAAUGGUAUCAAAGCAGCAAUGCACUUGAGGAUGAUCCUGCGUUCUAUCAGCUAGUUGGUGAGGUAAUGGCUCACCAAGGCUACGACGGAUAGCCGGCCUAAAAGGGUGGUCGGCCACAAUGGCACUGAGACACGGGCCAU